rnacentral:rRNA from 1 species
CGCCAAGCUUUAGGGGGUGUCGGGUGGAUGCCUAGGGGCCAGGAGCCGAAGAAGGACGCGGAGAGCGGCGAAACGUGGACGGGGAGCUGCAUGCAAGCGAAGAGCCGUCCGAUUCCGAAUGGGGCAACCCGCUGGCACGGAAGUGUCGGCAGCGGUCGCUGAAUGCAUAGGCGGCACGCGGGGCACCGCGGGAACUGAAACAUCUCAGUACCGCGAGGAAGAGAAAUCAACAGCAGAGAUUCCCGGAGUAGUGGCGAGCGAAACGGGAGCAGCCCAAACCGCGUGGGGUUCGCCCCGCGCGGGGUUGUAGGCCAGCGGCCAGGAUACGCGAGUGUCCACUGGGGCCAGAGGCGCGAUUGGCGAGCCGAAGGGGUCUGGAAAGCCCCACCAGAGCGGGUGAGAGUCCCGUAGGCCAAGCCCGCGCGACGCCCUGGGGUUGGCGGCUGAGCCUGAGUACCACGGGCCACGUGGAAGCCUGUGGGAAGCAGGGGGGACCACCCUCCAAGGCUAAAUACUGCCUGGCCACCGAUAGUGCACGAGUACCGUGAGGGAAAGGUGAAAAGCACCCCGAGAGGGGGAUGAAAGAGACCCUGAACCCCGGCACCCACAAGCCGUCGGAGGGCGACGGCCGAUCCAGGUGACUGGAUCGGCGGCCUAACGGCGUGCCUUUUGUAGAAUGAUCCGGCGAGUUCAUGUCGGCAGCGCGCGCGGGGGCCGCAAGCGGUCCUCGCGAGAGGUUAAGCGGCCGGGGGCGCAUGCUGCGCAUGCGUGCCCGACUAGAGAGCCGUGGAGCCGCAGCGAAAGCGAGUCUGAAGCGGGCGUUCCCGUCCACAAGCGAGGACCGCGUUGCCGGGAUGAGACCCGAAACCGGGUGAGCUAUCCAUGGGCAGGGUGAAGCGGAGGUAAGACUCGGUCGAGGCCCGAACCCACCGGUGUUGCAAAACCGGGGGAUGACCUGUGGAUAGGGGAGAAAUUCCAAUCGAACCCGGAGAUAGCUGGUUCUCCCCGAAAUGUAUGGAGGUACAGCCGGUGGCGGGUGCUCCGUGGGAGGUAGGGCGCUGGAUGGGCUCGGGGCCGUUUGCCGGUUACCAACCCCAACCAAACCAUGAAUGCCCACGGCAGAAGCGUCACCGAGUGAGGCGGCGGGGGCUAACCUUCGUCGCCGAGAGGGAAACAACCCAGACCGCCAGCUAAGGGCCCCAAGUACGGGCUGAGUGGCAAAGGUAGUGGGGGUGCCCAGACAGCCAGGAGGUUGGCUUAGAAGCAGCCAUCCUUGAAAGAGUGCGUAAUAGCUCACUGGUCGAGUGUCCCCGCGCCGAGAAUGUAUCGGGGCUCAAGCCCGUCCCCGAAGCCGCGGAUAUGCGUCAUACCGCCCGCGCCGCUUGUUGGUUUGGAUGCGCGGGCGCGCAUGUGGUAGGGGAGCGUUCGGGAGUAGCGGAGAAGCCUGAGCGGGAGCCCAGGUGGAGCGAACCGAAGCGAGAAUGCCGGAAUGAGUAGCGUCAUUGGGCGUGAGAACCGCCCACACCGAAAGCCUGAGGGUUCCUGGGCAACGGCAGUCGUCCCAGGGUCAGUCGGGACCUAAGCCGAGGCUGGAACCAAGCCAGCGUAGGCGAUGGCGAGCAGGUGGAUAUUCCUGCACCGAUGCCACGCAAGGUGAAGGGGGGACGCAGUAGGGAACGUCAGCCGGCCAAAUGGACAGGGCCGGUCGGCCGCGCGGGGGGGCGGUUUCCAGGGAAAUCCGGAGACCAUGAACGCUCGCCGGCGGACGCGAGCCUCCGUGGAGGAGGUGGAAGUGACGUCGUGCCCAGGCUGCCUAGAAAAGCCUCUAGCCGUUGGAGGGUGGCAUGGCCCGUACCGCACACCGACACUGGUGGGCAGGGGUAAGCACCCCAAGGUGGACGAGCGAUCCUCCGUUAAGGAACUCGGCAAAUUAACCCCGUAACUUCGGGAGAAGGGGUGCCCCGGCAGCGUGACGGGCGUGAAGCCUGGAGCGUGAGGGGGCCGCAGGAAGCAGGCUCAAGCGACUGUUUACCAAAAACACAGGUCUCUGCCACGGCGUAAGCCGACGUAUAGGGGCUGAUGCCUGCCCAGUGCCGGAAGGUGAAACGGAGAGGUGUGUGUAGCCUUGAAGUGAAGCCCCGGUGAACGGCGGCCGUAACUAUAACGGUCCUAAGGUAGCGAAAUUC